GAUAAUCGUUAAACGAUGGUAUAUAAUAUUAUACAUCUUUUGUAGGAAUCAAAAGUGACGACAAUUUUGUCGUACCUAUUCGCGUGUAUAAUAUAUAUAAUUGCCCGUGCGUCUCAAUCGUAUUGGAGCUAUAACAGUGGGUAGAUCGUCCGAUUUCUGUUAGCUACGAUCUCAACUGGACUAUACAUAAUAUAUACUGCCGUUGUUUAUCCGUCACCAUGCCGUGCAGUUUGCGAACAAUCAUCGUUCGUGUGAAUUUCAAGUACAACAAUCAGAUCUGCGCCACCGUGUACGUAAAAAUAUUCGUGUACAGGUUCUCGUUGUGAAUCACAAGCGCAAAGUACACCAGAUGAAUAUUUUAGACGUAAUUUAAUGAAUCCGCAAUGAAUCUACCUCGAACCCGGAUUGCAAAAUACGAAUGAUAAUAGCUCUAUAUAUAAAAAAAAAAUUAUUCACUGAAAACAAGAUGAUGCCUACGUCGUCAGACGAACAAACAGAACGACGGACGACGAACGCAAUCGGUGUCAUAAGAAAACCGCACGAGAGAGUAAUCUGAAUCAUGUAAGGCGGAUUUAUUAGUGAUUAAUAUGACGAAAUAAUAUAUAAAUGCAAAAUGUCAAUGAAUUAUUAAUAAUAAUAACAAUAAUUAUAAAUUA